rnacentral:rRNA from 1 species
AGUGAACGCUGGCGGCGUGCUUAACACAUGCAAGUCGAACGAGAACGGAUUAUAGCUUGCUAUAAUUGUCAGCUAAGUGGCGCACGGGUGAGUAAUGUAUAGGUAAUAUGCCUCUUACUAAGGGAUAACAAAUGGAAACGUUUGCUAAUACCUUAUACUCCUUAUUAACAGAAGUUAAUAAGGGAAAGAUUUAUUGGUAAGAGAUUAGCCUGUAUUGUAUCAGUUAGUUGGUGGGGUAAUGGCUUACCAAGACUAUGACACAUAACUGGUUUGAGAGGAUGAUCAGUCACACUGGAACUGAGACACGGUCCAGACUCCUACGGGAGGCAGCAGUGGGGAAUAUUGCACAAUGGACGAAAGUCUGAUGCAGCAACGCCGCGUGGGAGAUGACACAUUUCGGUGCGUAAACUCCUUUUAUAUGGGAAGAUAAUGACGGUAUUAUAUGAAUAAGCACCGGCUAACUCCGUGCCAGCAGCCGCCGCGG